UACGAGGGGGGCGAGCGUUGUUCGGAAUUAUUGGGCGUAAAGGGUGCGUAGGCGGUUUGGUAAGUCUUAUGUGAAAUCUACAGGCUCAACUUGUAGUCUGCAUGAGAAACUGCCGGGCUUGAGUAUGGGAGAGGUGAGUGGAAUUCCUGGUGUAGCGGUGAAAUGCGUAGAUAUCAGGAGGAACACCUGUGGCGAAAGCGGCUCACUGGACAGUAACUGACGCUGAUGCACGAAAGCUAGGGGAGCAAACAGG
rnacentral:rRNA from 1 species